rnacentral:rRNA from 1 species
UACGGAGGGUGCAAGCGUUGUUCGGAAUUACUGGGCGUAAAGCGCGUGUAGGUGGUUGAGUAGGUCGAAUGUGAAAGCCCCGGGCUCAACCUGGGAAGUGCAUUGGAUACUGGAAGACUUGAGUACGGGAGAGGGUAGUGGAAUUCCUAGUGUAGGAGUGAAAUCCGUAGAUAUUAGGAGGAACACCGGUGGCGAAGGCGGCUGCCUGGACCGAUACUGACGCUGAGACGCGAAAGCGUGGGGAGCAAACAGGAUUAGAAACCCCUGUA